rnacentral:tRNA from 1 species
GGGGUUGUGGCUUAGUGGUAGAGCGCUCACCUAGUAUGAAUGAAGAAUUGGGUUCGAUCCUCAGCACCACA